UGCAGCUGCAAGCCCUGGCUCCUCACACACACUGCCGGCCCACGGCGGACCUGCAUUGGGGCAAGCUGAGCACACAAGCACUCUCACUGCACUGAAAAUUACAGCCACGACAAAGCAUGGAACGCUUUAACAUCUCAGCACUACAGGGAAAGCAGAGGGCCUGAGAUGAAAGAGCAGAACCGGAACGUCAGCGUGCUCACAGAGGACGCGGGCUGACACGGCCAAGGCCACGAGCAAGGCCAAGGCCACACACGUUAUGCUCAAUCACAACCUUUUUCUUCGUCGUUCUUACGCCAAACAAACAAACAAAAGAAUACCAAGGCCAUGAGCAGCAGCAGUGAGGAGGAGUUCCCGCUUCCUCAGAAGGGCUCCCUUUGCACAAGAAGCCAAGCUGUGCAUUUCAUCAGCUGCAUUUCACCAGAAACAACAGUAACUACCUGAUAAAAUAAGAACACUUGGCAGUGCUCAGUGCAUGACUCCCGGACAUGAAAAACUUCUACUCUAACCUACAGAACAAUGUUCUGCUCCUUUCUUCUAUCUGAAUUACUGAAUUAAAUCAAAUGUGACUUCUCUACUAACAA